CCAGACUCCUACGGGAGGCAGCAGUCGGGAAUAUUGCGCAAUGGAGGAAACUCUGACGCAGUGACGCCGCGUGCAGGAAGAAGGUUUUCGGAUUGUAAACUGCUUUAGACAGGGAAGAAAAAAGACAGUACCUGUAGAAUAAGCUCCGGCUAACUACGUGCCAGCAGCCGCGGUAAUACGUAGGGAGCAAGCGUUAUCCGGAUUUACUGGGUGUAAAGGGAGCGUAGACGGCAAUACAAGUCGGAAGUGAAAUACCCGGGCUCAACCUGGGAACUGCUUUGGAAACUGUAUGGCUGGAGUGCGGGAGAGGUAAGCGGAAUUCCUAGUGUAGCGGUGAAAUGCGUAGAUAUUAGGAGGAACACCAGUGGCGAAGGCGGCUUACUGGACAGUAACUGACGUUGAGGCUCGAAAGCGUGGGGAGCAAACAGGAUUAGAUACCCGAGUA
rnacentral:rRNA from 1 species